rnacentral:rRNA from 1 species
GGAAUUGACGGGGGCCCGCACAAGCGGUGGAGCAUGUGGUUUAAUUCGAUGCAACGCGAAGAACCUUACCUACUCUUGACAUCCAGAGAACUUAGCAGAGAUGCUUUGGUGCCUUCGGGAACUCUGAGACAGGUGCUGCAUGGCUGUCGUCAGCUCGUGUUGUGAAAUGUUGGGUUAAGUCCCGCAACGAGCGCAACCCUUAUCCUUUGUUGCCAGCGGUCCGGCCGGGAACUCAAAGGAGACUGCCAGUGAUAAACUGGAGGAAGGUGGGGAUGACGUCAAGUCAUCAUGGCCCUUACGAGUAGGGCUACACACGUGCUACAAUGGCAUAUACAAAGAGAAGCGACCUCGCGAGAGCAAGCGGACCUCAUAAAGUAUGUCGUAGUCCGGAUUGGAGUCUGCAACUCGACUCCAUGAAGUCGGAAUCGCUAGUAAUCGUGGAUCAGAAUGCCACGGUGAAUACGUUCCCGGGCCUUGUACACACCGCCCGUCACACCAUGGGAGUGGGUUGCAAAAGAAGUAGGUAGCUUAACCUUCGGGAGGGCGCUUACCACUUUGUGAUUCAUGACUGGGGUGAAGUCGUAACAAGGUAACCGUAGGGGAACCUGCGGUUGGAUCACCUCCUUUAUG